rnacentral:rRNA from 1 species
AGAGUUUGAUCCUGGCUCAGGACGAACGCUGGCGGCGUGCCUAAUACAUGCAAGUAGAACGCUGAAGAGAGGAGCUUGCUCUUCUUGGAUGAGUUGCGAACGGGUGAGUAACGCGUAGGUAACCUGCCUUGUAGCGGGGGAUAACUAUUGGAAACGAUAGCUAAUACCGCAUAACAAUGGAUGACACAUGUCAUUUAUUUGAAAGGGGCAAUUGCUCCACUACAAGAUGGACCUGCGUUGUAUUAGCUAGUAGGUGAGGUAAUGGCUCACCUAGGCGACGAUACAUAGCCGACCUGAGAGGGUGAUCGGCCACACUGGGACUGAGACACGGCCCAGACUCCUACGGGAGGCAGCAGUAGGGAAUCUUCGGCAAUGGGGGCAACCCUGACCGAGCAACGCCGCGUGAGUGAAGAAGGUUUUCGGAUCGUAAAGCUCUGUUGUAAGUCAAGAACGGGUGUGAGAGUGGAAAGUUCACACUGUGACGGUAGCUUACCAGAAAGGGACGGCUAACUACGUGCCAGCAGCCGCGGUAAUACGUAGGUCCCGAGCGUUGUCCGGAUUUAUUGGGCGUAAAGCGAGCGCAGGCGGUUUGAUAAGUCUGAAGUUAAAGGCUGUGGCUCAACCAUAGUUCGCUUUGGAAACUGUCAAACUUGAGUGCAGAAGGGGAGAGUGGAAUUCCAUGUGUAGCGGUGAAAUGCGUAGAUAUAUGGAGGAACACCGGUGGCGAAAGCGGCUCUCUGGUCUGUAACUGACGCUGAGGCUCGAAAGCGUGGGGAGCGAACAGGAUUAGAUACCCUGGUAGUCCACGCCGUAAACGAUGAGUGCUAGGUGUUGGAUCCUUUCCGGGAUUCAGUGCCGCAGCUAACGCAUUAAGCACUCCGCCUGGGGAGUACGACCGCAAGGUUGAAACUCAAAGGAAUUGACGGGGGCCCGCACAAGCGGUGGAGCAUGUGGUUUAA